UAUGGCGACGUGGCUGCUGUCGAAAACCGUGUACAACUGAAUGAACUUACUAUUUUGACUCCAAAAGAUGACGGAAAACGGCACCUUGAGCAUCUUUUGCCGUUGAGUACAUUUUUUCUCUUGUUUGAUGGUGUUUGGAUGGAAAAAAUGAUGUCACGGCAGCUGAAAAACUCAGAAAUGGAACCAUGUGUUACACUGACACUCAAAUGAGUUGUCUCAGAUGGGAUAAAGAGUACAAUGCACAAACAAAGGAACAAAGAGAAUUGACCUCCUCAGCAGUGCAUUAGAAAGUGGUAUGUAGUUAUUCAGGUAUCACCUUGUCAUAUUGAAACA